GUGGGGAAUCUUGCGCAAUGGGCGAAAGCCUGACGCAGCCAUGCCGCGUGAAUGAUGAAGGUCUUAGGAUUGUAAAAUUCUUUCACCGGGGACGAUAAUGACGGUACCCGGAGAAGAAGCUCCGGCUAACUUCGUGCCAGCAGCCGCGGUAAUACGAAGGGGGCUAGCGUUGCUCGGAAUUACUGGGCGUAAAGGGCGCGUAGGCGGACAGCUUAGUCAGAGGUGAAAGCCCAGGGCUCAACCGUGGAAUUGCCUUUGAUACUGGCUGUCUUGAGUUUGGGAGAGGUGAGUGGAACUCCGAGUGUAGAGGUGAAAUUCGUAGAUAUUCGGAAGAACACCAGUGGCGAAGGCGACUCACUGGACAGGUAUUGACGCUGAGGUGCGAAAGCGUGGGGAGCAAACAGGAUUAGAAACCCCGGUAGUCC
rnacentral:rRNA from 1 species